rnacentral:rRNA from 1 species
AGAACGAACGCUGGCGGCAUGCCUAAUACAUGCAAGUCGAACGAACUCUUCGGAGUUAGUGGCGCACGGGUGCGUAACGCGUGGGAAUCUGCCCUUGGGUUCGGAAUAACAGUUGGAAACGACUGCUAAUACCGGAUGAUGACGAAAGUCCAAAGAUUUAUCGCCCAGGGAUGAGCCCGCGUAGGAUUAGCUAGUUGGUGAGGUAAAGGCUCACCAAGGCGACGAUCCUUAGCUGGUCUGAGAGGAUGAUCAGCCACACUGGGACAGAGACACGGCCCAGACUCCUACGGGAGGCAGCAGUAGGGAAUAUUGGACAAU